GGCCAGUCCAGCAGUGAGAUCAUCAAUAAGCAGGAGAGGGAGGAGCCAUAACCAAGGUAACCAACACCACUUCCACUUCAGUGCUGUCCCCAAACCAUUCUGCAACUCUACACCUGUGCAGCUGCUGGAGCUCGUCAUCAGCAAACAGUUUCUUGCCGUACGUCGUCAGGGAUCGGUUAUUAACAACAAAUAAGAUGGACACCGAUCAGCCGCCAAACAAAGAGGAGUCAAACCAACGGCAAGAAGAGGAGGGGAACAGUCUGGAUUGGCUCCUUAGAACAGAUGGAUCAGAGAUUACUCCAGCACCGAUGGAUACCAAUGUGACUUUAUCUAGACAGCACAGUCGGACCGUUGGC